CGUAUUGUUUAAACUAACAUUAUAUUAUGGGAUACAUUAUUAUUUUAAAGAAAAAACUUGAGGAAGGUCACCAAUCGCACUAACAACAUUAGAAAUCAAAAAACCGACAAUAGAACACAUUCCAUGGAAAUUCAUUUGCGAGAGUUCUUAUUAACGUUAAGGGUUUGUUUAAGACUUAUAAAUUUAAAGUCAAUACGAAGAACGUCUAGUUUAUAAUGCACAUGCGCUUAACUUUUUUACAAAACGUGAUAUAAAAAGAAUGAAAAAAUGAUUAAUAACAGCAUAUAUCUUUGUAUACAUAACAUCACAAAUAUAUAGGUCACUUAUAGUACAAGGAAGACUAAAAACGCCCAACAAGUGAUUAAAAAUGAUUAAUUUUUCUAUGAGGAUCGAUUUCGUCUACCUUUCGUGACCGUAUUGUUUAAACUAACAUAAUAUUAUGGGAUACAUUAUUUUUUUAAAGAAAAAACUUAAGGAAGGUCACCAAACGCACUAACAAUAAUGGAAAUCAAAAAAUCGU